ACAAAGACCAAAAAUCGUUUUGCACAUCGAUCAUAUGCUCAUUUCAUCUUGAAUGUACCUUUUUUUUUAAUUCGAUAACUAAGUAAAAUAAUACAAUGAAAUAUGUUUUUACAAAAGGUGAUUUGAGCUUGGAAAAAACAUUAUCAUUAGCAAAAAACACUUACAUCCAACUUGUUUUAAUUUCUGAUAUUUUUUUCUAGAAAUAAAAAAUGAUCUCAUCCAAUUUGCGUCUUCACUCCUGAAGCUGCUGGUGGGUUCACGGUCUGGUCAGACUUGGUGUUUGAGACUCCUUCCUCCUCAUUACGAUGGAGAUCCUUUUGAUUUGUUGCGCUGGCUGAGUGGGGGCAGAUGGGUGGUGUGUGUGAUAAGCCACUGGGCCUGGCCCAACAUUACUCCCCCAUGCUUUUGACUUUGUCUUUGUCCUUUGGUGAUUGAAGGCAUUUACCCAAAAUCUGUUCCGUGAGCCCAAACUCUAACAUAGAUGGACUGGAUUGAACUUUCUUCUUCAUCGUCGGUUUUGUAUUGGGAUGCUUGGCAAUCGGAGGAGCAUCGAUGUCCGCAUCCACAAGGUAGAACUCCGGAACCACCGUAACGGUCGCCAUCUCCACCUCCAAAUCAGCUUCCGUGUUAGCUAUCUCAAUCGGAGCUAUUGCUUCGAACCCAGUUACCAAUGAAACCUCCAUGGCUGAAUCUUCAUCGAGUAGAUCGUCCUCAUCAAUCUCCUAUUUGGCAUAUUCAUUGUACAACGACAGUCCAUCAAUUUUUCCAUCGGCUUGAUCCUCUUCUGCUUGAUUCACGCGCACGUGGAUGAAUUUGUAUCUCUGCAAAAACAGGAAUUAGCUCAUUGGGAUUCUCGAAACAGGAAUUUGUAUCCUCUGGUUCUACUACUUGUCCUAUCUACAUGUCGUAAGCCUCACCAAACUCUACACGAUAGAAGAUGUCAUAUGUCUUUCAGACAGUAUCCUGGCGAUUGCAUUUAUAAUCCAACCAACCCAAACUGGAUGAUGGGAAAGACCUUUACAUCACCGGUUUCGGCUAUUUCACAGCCUUCAUGGUAGUUCUCUUCAGGUACGCUAAUAUUCCUUAACGACAUCAGCCUCAGCCUCAGGAUGACGACGACGGCUAAGGACGCGACGGCGGCGAAGGAUGCACCCUUCACCUUAAAUUUGGGAGAUCCACGACCUCUCGCCAAAUGUGUCGAGAUCGAAUCCUUCGUUUCCUUCAUCCCCUCCACCAUAUCACCGUUGAUUUCACCCACAAGCUGAUCGCCGGAUCCGUCUUCUUCCAUCGGACACCACCUCCACCGGAACCAUCUCCUGCGGGGCGUCUAACAUCAACUCCUCAUCGAUUUGGUAAAACUCAUCAUCAUUCAACGUCUCAUAUCUUAGGCUUGGGAAGAACUGCUAGCAGUGCCUCGACGCUCCUUACGUUGGCGUUAAGGAGACGUCCCACAAGACUUUCGCUAUCGUUUUAAUGUCUGUGUUUGUCAUUUCUAGUUAUCGUUUCUAGUUUAGAUUUUAUUUUGGUAUUUAUGUUGUAAUCGUUGUUUGCUAAGUAAUGAAAAUGGGCAACAUUAUUUA